AACAUAGUUUUAUGUAUUUAUAUAAAAUAUUUUCUGCCCAAUGUUUUUGAAAAAAAUCAAUGGCCGCAGUACCUUGACUGUGCUAAGGUAGCAUAAUCAAUUGGCUUUUAAUUAAGGUCUAGAAUGAAUGGGAUAAUGAAGUUAAUCUGUCUUAGUUGCUUUUAUUAAAAUUUAUUUAAAAGGUGAAAAUACCUUUUUUAAAAAUAAAGACGAGAAGACCCUUAGAAUUUUUAUUAUUUUUUUUUGUUGGGGCGACAGUUUAAAAUAUAAUCUUAAAUUUAUUGUAAAUAUAUAACGAUUUUUUUAAUAGAAAUUAAAUUACCUUAGGGAUAACAGCAUAAUUAAUUAUUUAGUUUGUGACCUCGAUGUUGGACUAGGAACUAUAUGGCUAACCGUCUAAUUAGAUUUGUUCUGUUCG
rnacentral:rRNA from 1 species